rnacentral:lncRNA from 1 species
AAAAAAUAAGUAAAUUAUUGGGUUUUUGUUGGUGGUAGUAUUUUUAUCCUGCCAUUAUUUAAUUAAUCAUUUAUUUAUUUAUUUAUGAUUUGAGCUCUACAAUUUACCAUGGAUUUAAAAGUAACAUGAACAUUUCCCAGUUAACUUUUUUUACUUUUAAAAAUUUAGGCCACUCCCAUUACUCAUUCGAAGGGUUCUUUCUAUUAUUUCCAGAAAUAAGUAUAUAUUAACUAUCACCUUCCUAACAUAUCCCACAUACAAGCAAUAGCCUUCUGUUGCUUAUCCUGCUUUAUCCAAAAGCUACCAUUAAUUUAUGAAUUCAUGUUCACAUAUGGAAAAAAUUCUAACCAGUUACUUAAUGUUUUACCAAUUUUAUUACAUUUCUGCAGUAGUUUUUCAUUUUAGCUUCUCUGAUACUUCCCUAAUGCAGUCAUGGAGCAUAAGAGCAAAGGUUGUCAGAGCUUUGAAAGCACAGUGGAUUAACAGACGUGUGUGACUGUAUAACUGUAUUGCAAUGAGUCAAGAAAUCUGGCAUAGAUCCCAAUAAAGAAGUACAUAUUUUCAAAAUCCAUGCAAUGUAAACCACUUAA